AGUGAACGCUGGCGGUAGGCCUAACACAUGCAAGUCGAACGGCAGCACAGUAAGAGCUUGCUCUUACGGGUGGCGAGUGGCGGACGGGUGAGGAAUACAUCGGAAUCUACUUUUUCGUGGGGGAGAACGUAGGGAAACUUACGCUAAUACCGCAUACGACCUACGGGUGAAAGCGUGGGAUCUUCGGACCUUGCGCGAGUGAAUGAGCCGAUGGCGGAUUAGCUAGUUGGCGGGGUAAAGGCCCACCAAGGCGACGAUCCGUAGCUGGUCUGAGAGGAUGAUCAGCCACACUGGAACUGAGACACGGUCCAGACUCCUACGGGAGGCAGCAGUGGGGAAUAUUGGACAAUGGGCGAAAGCCUGAUCCAGCCAUGCCGCGUGUGUGAAGAAGGUCUUCGGAUUGUAAAGCCCUUUUGUUGGGAAAGAAAAGCAGUAGGUUAAUACCCCGCUGUUCUGACGGUACCAACAGAAUAAGCACCGGCUAACUUCGUG
rnacentral:rRNA from 1 species